CUUCCCAUUUAUUUGCUGCUUGUAGUCUCACAGUGGUACGAGCAGUUAUACGCGUGGGAUAAAAUAACAAUCGGACCAGUGUAAGUUGAGAUGAAGUAACCAUUUUCAUCUCUUCUGCAUGGACUAGACAUUG
rnacentral:snoRNA from 1 species